rnacentral:lncRNA from 1 species
GCUGUCUUCGGCUUCGAUGUCUUCUCUGCGCCCGUGUCGCGGCCAUUGGCGGAGUACGCCGGGCGCCGCCACACGGGACGGCGUGUCCGUGAACAUCGCGCCGCCAACGCCGCCUGCACGACCGUUGAGACCAGCCACAACGCGUCCACGCCGACCAGCUGCGCCACGCUCGACGCCUGCCCGAGCGCACACCACAGGCCGCUCAUCGCCGGGAAGCAGCGCAUUCGCUCUCCGCCGCCAAUCCGGCCCCCGCUCCCCGCGUUCGGGCCGGAGCUCCAGCCCCCACUCCACCCCGAGACCACGCCGCCGUCUCGUCGCUCCGCCUCAUGGGUCAUGGCCAGGUCGCCGCCGCUCCGCUGGAGGCCGAGAAAGCAAGCAAGGAAAAUAACAAGUGAGGAAAGGAGCAAAGCAGACAAAAGAAACAGAUCGAUCAAUGCGAUGCUAUUGCUAUCUCUCUCUAUUCUUCUACUCCUGCUUGAGCUGUCGCGGAGCAAGAGGCGCCAGCACGGUGGUGUGGUCCUCGGGACCGCCGCGGCCGCCACCCACCUCACCUUCGUCGCCGCGGCUGCCGCCCACCUCGCCGCCCACGACGCGGAGAGGGGACAAGGAGCAGCGGCUGGGAGGUGGUAGGGGUGAUGGA